rnacentral:rRNA from 1 species
AUUGAACGCUGGCGGCAUGCCUUACACAUGCAAGUCGAACGGCAGCACGGGAGCAAUCCUGGUGGCGAGUGGCGAACGGGUGAGUAAAGUAUCGGAACGUGCCCAGUCGUGGGGGAUAACGUAGCGAAAGUUACGCUAAUACCGCAUACGAUCUAUGGAUGAAAGCGGGGGAUCGCAAGACCUCGCGCGAUUGGAGCGGCCGAUAUCAGAUUAGGUAGUUGGUGGGGUAAAGGCUCACCAAGCCGACGAUCUGUAGCUGGUCUGAGAGGACGACCAGCCACACUGGGACUGAGACACAGCCCAGGCUCCUACGGGAGGCAGCAGUGGGGAAUUUUGGACAAUGGGCGAAAGCCUGAUUCAGCCAUGCCGCGUGCAGGAUGAAGGCCUUCGGGUUGUAAACUGCUUUUGUACGGAACGAAAAGGUUUGGCCUAAUAAGCUGAGCUCAUGACGGUACCGUAAGAAUAAGCACCGGCUAACUACGUGCCAGCCGCCGCCGUAA